rnacentral:rRNA from 1 species
UACGUAGGGUGCGAGCGUUGUCCGGAAUUAUUGGGCGUAAAGAGCUUGUAGGUGGUUUGUCGCGUCUGCUGUGAAAAUCCGGGGCUCAACCCCGGACUUGCAGUGGGUACGGGCAGACUAGAGUGUGGUAGGGGAGACUGGAAUUCCUGGUGUAGCGGUGGAAUGCGCAGAUAUCAGGAGGAACACCGAUGGCGAAGGCAGGUCUCUGGGCCAUUACUGACACUGAGAAGCGGAAAGCAUGGG